AUAAAGUCGUCUGCUCGCGCUUCCAUUCACUAAUCGACCGUGCAGCCGUAAGCAGACGACCGUUCUCCGAUAAGCAUUUAGCCCUAGCGAUGACUAAAUCCAGCACAAUUUUCUUGGCUGCUAUUAUGAGCGUCACUCUGAUCAUGACGUCAGCUAUGCCAGCUCGACCACCACUUGGAACAGUCAGACGUCACGCAUGCGCGUACAAGUGUCUUGAAAAAACUGCCGCUUGCUUGCAAAUGCGGGGGUGUCUGAAACCUACAAUGGAGGGCAAGAAACGGGAGUGUUUUGAGCCAUGCCGGACCGAGUACAAGACAUGCGUCCUGCCAUGUUUUAACCCGGAAAUUGAGAUUCGAACCCGAGUUUUAACACCAGCUAAAGUGGGUAUCACAGCGCAGCCGUAAGACAGUUAAUCGAUGUGAAUCCGUGUACAGAGGAGUUGUUCUAUCCGGCACGUGUUUGUCGUCACUGGGAAAAGUUGAACAAGAAGGCGAGGAAACGCCAGACGACAUUCUACAACGAGUAGUCUUGUCAGACGGGAAGAGUGACGUCGUCAUCAAUGGUCGGAGGAAAUGACGUCAUGUAACAUUUCUCUUGAACAAGUGAUCACUGUGUACGUUGUGUGUCCCCGAGUAAUGUCUGUUUCCAACUGUGUCUUGUUGUUCGAACAUCUCGUUGAAUCUUUGAGAGAAGGAAACAUGGCGUGACUUCUAAACUUGCAACAAUGGCUUCUUGUUGCUAUAAAUGGGGUAAUAAAUGAAUGCCUGGACGAAUUUGGGUGUUGUAAAAUAAAGGAACAAUCACUGAGUGUUGAUGAACGGCUGUAAACGCACGCUGACCGGAAAGCAAUGGGAUUUACGUUCCUUAACAAUGUUGAUAUUGUGUUUCGUGUUCAGAGUCGUCUAUUUUGAUCCGUGAAUAAAAUUGUUGAUCGUUUAAUUAA